GUCUCACUGGACAGCUCAGACGGUAGAGUAUGAGACUCUUAAGUUCAAGAUUGUGGGUUCAAGCCCCACGUUGGGCA